GCCUGGCCCGGCAGCCGUACCGCAGACGAGCCCGCGCCCGCGCCGCUCAGAUCUCCCAGCUGGACGUUCAAAAUAGCUUUUGAUGUCUUAGGGCGUCUUUUAUUCAACCCUAGGAGGCUGAGGGAAGAAAAGAAUAAUUUAAAUGAAAUUUAGUUUCUAUAAAGAAAACGAUUAAAAACAAGGUAGGUUUUUAUCUUAGAUAUUUUAUCCAGGAUAAAGGCAGAGAUUCAACCAAGUCUUUAAUUAUAAUUAGUUAUAGGAAAUGUUUAAAGUAUGCUUACAAUAUGUGCAACUGAGUAUUCUGUUUCAGAAAGGAAAGUUUAUUGAGUUGUUUAUCUUUUGGGGGCAGUUGUUUACUUAUUUUCCUUUUAAAAUAAAUAAUCUAAUAAUUUUAUAGCAUUUUAAAUAAUCAUAAAAUGUAUGUGAUAAAGUGACUGCUAUAUGUUCUCUAUAUUUUUAUCUAUUAACUAUGGAUUGCUUCUAAAAACAUGCCUUGAAUAGUAAAGGAUUCCAUAGUGUAUGUGCAUUUUAUUUUAUUUUAUUUUAUUAUUAUUAUACUUUAAGUUUUAGGGUACAUGUGCACAAUGUGCAGGGUAGUUACAUAUGUAUACAUGUGCCAUGCUGGUGUGCUGCACCCAUUAACUCGUCAUUUAGCAUCAGGUAUAUCUUCUAAAGCUAUCCCUGUGCAUUUUAAACAUUAUAUGCUUUCUUUGUUUUUGAUGAGAUAGCAGUCUAAAUUUUUUCACUCUGCUCUUGUGUUUAAAUGCAAAUAAGUUCAUUCAGUUUUCUGUUGGUGCUUUAUUUGAUACUACCAAGUUUUUGUUUGCUAAUGUAGCACAUAUAAGGCAUCCCCUGUAAAAACAUCCCCCAAGCUACUCUAUGGUUAGUGUAUGGCUAAUAUAUU
rnacentral:lncRNA from 1 species